AUUGUGGCAGAAUCAACAGGCUAUGUGGCAUUUACUGCUCUACAUUGUUACUUUUUUACCUUUUCACUUAUACAAAAUGCAACUCCCAGUAUUUUAGAAAUAAAGUUAUUUGCUGAGAGGUUUUCUUGAGUUCUACUAAGGUGUGUCUUCCAUGCAACCUCCCUCUUUGUGCCCUUCAGGUAAGAAGGUGAUGACAGGCAAUCUCUUACAUCUGCUUCAGAGCUCCUUAUUGGCUGGCUGUGUUUGUCUAUCACAGCCCCCUUAAAUGAUGCGGCAUACAUAAGUGAUCACCUUAAAAUGUGCAGAACAGUCAUAAGAGAAACAAACUUUUCUAUUUUUCCAUGCCGAUCUGAACGUCCUAUUCUCUUAUACUUUCCUGCAGUUUUUCUUUUUUUCUUCCAGCAGUGUUGUAACUUUAACCGACCUAGAUGUCACAAACAAUUUAGCUUUCUUUUUCUUUUUUUCUUUUUUUGUUGUAUUGCUACAUGGUUUAAAUACAUGUUGUGACCUGGAAUCACUGUUGUACUUUACCAUGCUAUCCAACAAACACUGUCUCAGCCUUUCCAUGAGUUAGAGGUUUAACCUUUUCAUUCUUUUGCAUUUUCUUGUUUAUUCCCCAUUCUCCCUCCUUUGUUCUGAGUUUGCUAUUGUGUUCUCCUUAUCCCUGCUAUUUAUCUGUUUAGAGUGGACUAGAGACCAGAUGCUGGAUUUAAAAACACAUGAAAGGUCAACGGUUUAAAGAACGAUCCACGUGUCCUGCUGUCCUUCAUUCCACCGGAGUCUGUCUCAUACAUAAUCAGAUUUCAGUAGAGUGAAGCACAAGAGGCAUGUAGCAGUCUCAGCACAACCUGCAAUUUCCAAACUCAGCCAAGCUGGUAUGUACAAUGAGAGUGACAGGCCUCUUCUGUAAUUCAGUUGAACACUUAAACACAUUCAUUUGACAUUAACCUGCUCAUUGCAUUUGAGAGAGAAAAGAAAAUACAUUGGAACUGUAAAGAUAUUUAUUCAACAUUAAAAAAAUGAAUAUUUGCUUUUAUAUUAUCUUAUAUAUUUGCAGCAGAACAAAAUAAAAUAAAGUAUUGAUCAAUGCUUGUCUUCUA